UCUUCUAUUGUUAUGAAAUGUUUACAGAAGAUUCAUAUCCUUAUAGGCAAAAACUGAUUCAAUGUUCAAGGUCAUAGGUGAAAGGUCAAAGUGAGGAAAAAUCUUGAAAUACUGGGAAAAAAUCCCUAUAUUUACACUGAACAAUUUUUCAAAAAAUCAUAAUACUGUCAAAAAAGAUCAAAUUUAUUUCAUAUUUGAUAGUGUUAUGUAGGGUGGUAUCC